ACGUAUCUGCCUCGGGGUGUGAGGGUGGCCUGGCUCCGGCGAAUUGCCGUGCAGCGGGUCCCCUCCCCUCGAACACUACAAACCCACUGUGCACCUUUCGCGGUGGAGGGUGUGGCGCAAGCCUGCCCGAAGCCGCGGUCUCACAGACUCGUCUCAGAAUGUCUUGCGGACUUGUUCCGCCCAUAAACGUAA
rnacentral:misc_RNA from 1 species